rnacentral:rRNA from 1 species
AUACGUAGGUGACAAGCGUUAUCCGGAUUUACUGGGCGUAAAGGGCGUGUAGGCGGUCUUGCAAGUCAGAAGUGAAAUUCCUGAGCUCAACUCGGGCGCUGCUUCUGAAACUGCAGGACUUGAGUGCUGGAGGGGAUAGCGGAAUUCCUAGUGGAGCGGUAAAAUGCGCAGAUAUUAGGAAGAACACCGGGGGCGAAGGCGGCUAUCUGGACAGUAACUGACGCUGAGGCGCGAAAGCGUGGGGAGCAAACAGGAUUAGAUACCCGGGUAGUCCACGCCGUAAACGAUGAAUACUAGGUGUAGGGGGUAUCGACUCCCUCUGUGCCGCAGUUAACACAAUAAGUAUUCCGCCUGGGGAGUACGGCCGCAAGGUUGAAACUCAAAGGAAUUGACGGGG